CAACUACAAGUGUUACCUUUCCUUUGGAAAGGCUUUGAAUCACUGUAUUCCAGCUUGGUUCCACAUCAAACACCUGAAUAACACCAGUCAGGUCCUUUUGAACAUUAGUGAAAACUAAGACACCUACCCUACAACUACAAGUGUUACCUUUCCUUUGGAAAGGCUUUGAAUCACUGUAUUCCAGCUUGGUUCCACAUCAAACACCUGAAUAACACCAGUCAGGUCCUUUUGAACAUUAGUGAAAACUAAGACACCUACCCUACAACUACAAGUGUUACCUUUCCUUUGGAAAGGCUUUGAAUCACUGUAUUCCAGCUUGGUUCCACAUCAAA